AACGAACGCUGGCGGCAUGCCUAACACAUGCAAGUCGAACGAGAUCUUCGGGUCUAGUGGCGCACGGGUGCGUAACGCGUGGGAAUCUGCCCUUUGGUUCGGAAUAACAGUUGGAAACGACUGCUAAUACCGGAUGAUGACGAAAGUCCAAGGAUUUAUCGCCAGAGGAUGAGCCCGCGUAGGAUUAGCUAGUUGGUGUGGUAAAGGCGCACCAAGGCGACGAUCCUUAGCUGGUCUGAGAGGAUGAUCAGCCACACUGGGACUGAGACACGGCUCGGACUCCUACGUGAGGCAGCAGUGGGGAAUAUUGGACAAUGGGCGAAAGCCUGAUCCAGCAAUGCCGCGUGAGUGAUGAAGGCCUUAGGGUUGUAAAGCUCUUUUACUCGGGAUGAUAAUGACAGUACCGGGAGAAUAAGCUCCGGCUAACUCCGUGCCAGCCGCCGCGGUAA
rnacentral:rRNA from 1 species